CGCGGCCUAUCAGCUUGUUGGCGGGGUAACGGCCCACCAAGGCAUCGACGGGUAGCUGGUCUGAGAGGACGAUCAGCCACACUGGGACUGAGACACGGCCCAGACUCCUACGGGAGGCAGCAGCAGGGAAUAUUGCGCAAUGGGCGAAAGCCUGACGCAGCAACGCCGCGUGGGGGAUGAAGGCCUUCGGGUUGUAAGCCCCUUUCGGGAGGGAAGAAAAUGACGGUACCUCCUAAAGAAGCCCCGGCCAACUACGUGCCAGCAGCCGCGGUAAUACGUAGGGGGCGAGCGUUGUCCGGAAUCAUUGGGCGUAAAGAGCUCGUAGGCGGCUCAGUUAGUCGGCUGUGAAAGCCCGAGGCUCAACCUCGGAACUGCAGUCGAUACUGCUGUGGCUAGAGUCCGGUAGAGGAGAGUGGAAUUCCCGGUGUAGCGGUGGAAUGCGCAGAUAUCGGGAGGAACACCAGUAGCGAAGGCGGCUCUCUGGGCCGGAACUGACGCUGAGGAGCGAAAGCGUGGGUAGCAAACAGGAUUAGAUACCCUGGUAGUCCACGCCGUAAACGUUGGGCACUAGGUGUGGCGGUCUAUCAACGGCUGCCGUGCCGAAGCUAACGCAUUAAGUGCCCCGCCUGGGGAGUACGG
rnacentral:rRNA from 1 species